rnacentral:lncRNA from 1 species
CAAUCACAAUCAAAGCAAUGAAAUAUUAUAUUACAUGCAAGUGCCAACAAAAAAUGGCGACAAUGCAUACCGAAACUCUUUAAUUUAGCGGCUAUUAUUACACAUUCGCUUUAGUUUAUAUCCUGCGUGAAGUUUACAUUAAAUGCCCGUUUAAAAGUAUUAAAGUGGGGUUUUUUCACGACUUCGUGUCCCGCAAUUUUGGUGUGACGUCAAACUUUCGAUUAAGCUUCAUUUUCUUUUAUUGCAUAAAUUGUAAAUUGAAUAAAAUUUUUAUUUAAUUUUUUAUAAAAUUUUUAUCGUAUUCCCCGAUUCCCGGUUCCCUGUUUUAAAGAUAGCCGCCUUUGCCAUGCAGAACACAUUUUUGAAAUAAUAGUGAAAUGCAACAAAAACAUUCGGCGUGUUGAGAUAAUGACGUCACAUCCUCUUCAAAACGCCUUCUCGCAACACCGCGGAAAAACGUCUGCGCAUGCACCAAAUUAUGAAAAUAUGGCGGGGAAUUUGAAUAUCAAUUUCUAAAACAAAAACAUGCUUAUUAAUUGGUCAAAAAUUAGCAAAACAAACGAGAAAAUAUAGCAAAUGGGUAGACUAGACAUUAAUUGAAAGCGUCCUGGCAUUUAAAGUAUGGAAUGAAAUAUAAUUCAUGUAAAAAAUUGUUGAUUUAACGGACACGACUUCGAAAAUUUUUGCAAAAUUAUUCAAAACAAAAAUUCAAACUAAAAAGUUAAGAAAACUCUCGAAAAGUUAAGCUUCUUAACCCACUCAAAUUGUAGAAUAAAUCCUAAAGUUUAAUUAUUGUGAACACGCAAAUUUUUUAUAUUUGGCGACACAGUUUUUUUAAAGAAAUGUAUCUGACACGAAAAUUCGGAAAUUGUCAUUGCUUAGUUGAUAAACAAAAUGUUUCAGACGAUAAAUUUGUCAACAAUCACCUUUAAUUCAUGUUCUUGUACAAUACAAUUUCUUGAACCUUCUGGCUGUAUUUAUUUCUAGUUUUUAGAAUGGCAUGUUUAUUUUUGCGCUUGAAAUCUGGCUGUAAAGACGCACAAUGAAGUCACUCCUUUUUACCGCCAUUUUGAGCCUUCGGAAACGUUCGGAACAGCUUCUCAUCUGUUCGCAAUACUAUUACAGGUAAGGUUGACGCAUGCGCAGACGUUUUUCCGCGGUGUUCCUUCUCGCUUAAUUGGGUGCGUUUAAUUGCGGCCGUAAAAUUGGCAAUUAAGAAUCGUAAAACAGUCAGAAGAUGAAAGAAUUUUGCCUUGAACUUUGGUAAGAAUAUCAAGCAUACGUUAUAUUUCUGGGCUCGGUUGUAUAAAAACGUUGUAUGAAAACUAUGAUUAGCGUUAAUCAUUGUAGUUAAAUUCUUAAAUCUUAACAAUGAUUAGUUAACUGUGCGACUUAAUUGCGUUGCACAAAACGUAGUUUGUCGGAUGAUUAACUAAUCACGUAAUUAACUUGCGUGGGGCUUGCGUGGGGUGGUUAAACAGUAAAAUUACAUAAAGUAAAGGUGAUUAACGACCGCUUACAAGCAUUUUUAACAUGAUUGUGGCCUCGCAUUUUGCAAAUAGGCGGGAAUAUUAUUCAAAAUAGAAAAAAUAAACAGAAAAACAAGGAAAAAUCAACGAAGAAGGCCGUUUUUACUUGAGAUGUCUACAUUAAACCAAAUUGUAACUGUUUGGCAAUUAUAUAUCAUGUUUCUUCGUGUAAUGGGCCCUAUUUUUACGUCGUAUUCGAGAAAUCUUCCCGUGCAAAAAUAUUUUUUGUUUUCGCCAAAAAACCAAAGCGAUAGCGUUUCAAGACGGUUUAUAUUGUCAGGAAACAAUCACAGGGAAGAUAGUGAUCGAAAAUCCCAGGUAAGAAUUGCUUUUCAUUAUUGUUUUACUGAAAAAUGUUGUUCACUACUAUAGGCUACAAGCGCCAUUUUUAACUAUGUUUGAGAAGUUAACGAUACCCUAAAGCAUCGUUAACUUCAACUACGAUUUAACUACAAUUAACGCUAACUACUUUUUUAUACAACCGAGUUAACUACGUGAUUAAAGUUAAUCACUAUUUAACUACAAAAUAGUGAUUAAAAAGUGAUUAAGAGUUUUAUACAACCGGCCCCUGGAUUAUGAAAAAAAAUUAAUGAUAGUGCCACUUUAAUAAAUUAACCAAUAAUAUAGUAUUACGACGUGAAUUGCCAUAUGUGACAAGAAAAAAAAAGCAAAUCUAUUACGGGUUGAACUAACGCCCCAAGCUUAUGCCAAAAAUUGCUGAAUGACCAACUGAAUGGGCUCCCUACAUAUUGGGCAGGGGUCUCUUCUUUGUUCCAGUUUCCUUGCGCAGUCAAGGCAACAGCACACGUGGCCAGUUCCGCCAUGAAUUAUUGUGGCGUCUUUCGGUUUCGUCAGACAAAUGAUACACAUUGCAUCACCUUGAAUCGGAGCUGAACCAUUCACAGCUACUAAAUCCUCUUCCGGUGACGUCACAGGGUAUCCCGCUGCAGUUGUUCCUAUUGCGCCUCGAUUGCAGAAAUUGUUUGGACGUCGCGGGACUAGUAAAAAUAUAAUAAGACACAAACAAGGUCAGGAAUCUCCAUGGAGUCUCAGUGGACAAACGAUUAUGUAAAUGCAUAAUUUUUCAGGCUUCUAUACGAUAAAAAAUGUUAAUAAAGUUUAUUCAAUUUUUUACGUGCGCAUACUGUGUUUUCCAAAUCAACGUCCAACUAAACCAGAACAAUAUAUACUAUUGGUGAUUGAACACCUAUUAUCACCCCCCCCCGAAAUAAAAUUGAGCAUACUGAAAUGGUCUGCUGCCGCUGUUCUACAAAUCAAGGAAGAAGAAAAGAACCCAUCUAUGAUCUAGUUGCUAAAUCCUCUUUUGACUAAACCUAGGUUGGUUG